rnacentral:rRNA from 1 species
AGAAUCAACGCUGGCGGCGCGCCUAACACAUGCAAGUCGAACGAGAAAGUGGAGCAAUCCAUGAGUACAGUGGCGUACGGGUGAGUAACACGUGGGUAAUCUACCUUUUAGUGAGGAAUAACCAAGGGAAACUUUGGCUAAUACCGCAUAAGCCUGAGAAGGGAAAGCAGCAAUGCGCUGAAAGAGGAGCCCGCGGCCGAUUAGCUAGUUGGUGGGGUAAGAGCCUACCAAGGCAGAGAUCGGUAGCCGGCCUGAGAGGGGCACGACGGACCGACGACCUAGGCGACUGAAACACGGGCCAGACUCCUACGGGAGGCAGCAGUGGGGAAUCUUGCACAAUGGGGGAAACCCUGAUGCAGCGACGCCGCGUGAGCGAUGAAGCCCUUCGGGGUGUAAAGCUCUUUCGUCAGGGAAGAUAGUGACGGUACCUGGAGAAGCAGCUGCGGCUAACGUACGUGCCAGCAGCCGC